rnacentral:lncRNA from 1 species
UAUUUAUGUCUGGACAUUUGCAUGUCUGGUUUGUGUUUGGUUUUAUUUUGGUUUUGUUUCUCCUUUCAGAAAUAGCUCCCAAAGCACAGCCCAAUUCAGUAGCUGCCGCUUGUACAAUACAGUGCGGAUAGACUGCGGGUCGUUGGGGUAGGUCGCGUUAUCUCUUCGUCUCCCUGGACUCCUAAUGAGGGUAAUGAUGUUCUUUCUCCUCGGCACCAAUCAGCAGGCGAUAUCCCUGCACAAAGCCUGCCUCGCUGCCCUCGGAGCUGUUCGUCUCUGGAACAGCGAGUUACGAGAGUCUCGAGUCUCCAAGGCGCAGGGAGGGCGCGCUUUGCCGUGCUCACCAUGGCACAGCCUUGAUCAAUAUGGUGAUGGUGUGUCAGAUGAUUUUUAUCUUGGAAAAAAUUGCUCUGGGCAGUCCCCAGCAGGUGAGUUGUCCAUCCUUCUCGUCACCCCGUGCCAGAAUUGUCUGUGGUUCUGUGAUUACUGA